CCUGGGAGUUGAGGUGAAAAAGUGUCAACUCCGCCAAAACGAGAGCUCUGACGGAACCUGCCAGAAAAGACAGUAGCUUAACGGAUCCUGCGCAUUUUUGGGGACGCUUAAAAACGGAAAACGUAACCGUAUAUGCUGAAAUCCCUCCACCGAUUAAUAAAUUGGGAGUACUCACCAGGGCUGGUUCAGCUGAUCCGUGAAGACCGAGAACUGUAUCCAGGAGACACUCAGCGGGUCGGUGGUACCUCACCCGGAUCUUUGCCGAUACGUGGAAACGUCUCCGUCGGGUACUCUCCUCUACCAGGCAACCCGGUACGUCAGGACUGUCUCUCCACGGCAGAUUCGAACACCUCGACCUCAAUUCCACAAUAAAAAAUCUUCCGAGAGCAUUGGCGUAACUGUACGAAUUAAUCCGACAGUGUAGCUUCUGAGGAGGAUUGUGACUCGAAGUGAACCAAAAAGCGAGAAGGUUUUCUGAAUCGGUAGCUGGAGUCGCUUUGUGACUGUGAGUCGAAAAAACACGUCACAAUAUAAAAAGAGAAGUGAAAAGGGUCACACUGAGCCCUGCAAACCCCAAGCUGAGUGAAGAAAAAAGAAAAUAAAAGGUUACGUACAGAAGGAAAAAGGAAAUGGAAGAAGUGUCGAAAAAAUGAGU